UGGGGAAUAUUGGACAAUGGGCGAAAGCCUGAUCCAGCCAUGCCGCGUGUGUGAAGAAGGUCUUCGGAUUGUAAAGCACUUUAAGUUGGGAGGAAGGGCAGUAAGUUAAUACCUUGCUGUUUGACGUUACCGACAGAAUAAGCACCGGCUAACUCUGUGCCAAGCAGCCGCGGUAAUACAGAGGGUGCAAGCGUUAAUCGGAAUUACUGGGCGUAAAGCGCGCGUAGGUGGUUUGUUAAGUUGGAUGUGAAAGCCCGGCUGCAAACCUGGGAACUGCAUCCAAAACUGGCAAGCUAGAGUACGGUAGAGGGUGGUGGAAUUCCUGUGUAGCGGUGAAAUGCGUUAGAUAUAGGAAGGAACACCAGUGGCGAAGGCGACCACCUGGACUGAUACUGACACUGAGGUGCGAAAGCGUGGGAGCAAACA
rnacentral:rRNA from 1 species